CAAUACUGUAAGUGGGUGCAUCACCUGAGAGUGAGUUUGUUGACCACUAAAAUGUUAGUAGUAUUUAAAGGUGUUUCCCAGAAUUAUUGUUCCAUCUAACUUUGUUGAAUAAUAAUAUUGACUUAUUAAAAUAUGAAUGUGAUUUUUUUCUCAGGUGGGUUAGCUUUAAGAGAAGAGUUGUCAAUGACAAGUCGGUUCCGAUAUUGGUGCGAUUUACUGCGGCAACCUUAAAGCUCCGAGCGGUAGAUGAACAGAAAAAGGAAACCAAGCAGCUGAAAGACCUGUUUCAGCACAUGAUAGAAGUGGUUGACAAAGCUCAUGAAGGAGUGAAGAAAAGGACACUGCUGUAGGCUGACAAGAAGCAUUUUUAUGCACUGUGGCUUUUAGACACAAAUAUGUUACACUUGUUUUUAUGACAAAUGUGACCCUUGUGAAUUGUAAGCCAUACAAUCAGUUCUUUAUUUACUUUACUAAAUGCAAUGCUAACAGUGGGAUUCUUCUUUUUGUGACCUUUCUAAAAAUGAGGAAUCCAGAUGCUUUUUUAAUGCAGUUGAUAAUCAUUUAAAUAAUAACAUACAAGACAUUAUUUCCAUAUCUACUGUAUGUAUACUGUGGGCAGCACGGUACGUUUAUUAUAGGCUUUGUAGAACAAGUUUCAGAUUUGCUGCAAUUGCCCACCAUCUUUACAUUUUUAAAGAAUGAGAUUAGCAUAAUAGAGAAAAGGGUGGCUUCUACCAAAAUCGAUUUUUGUCAAAACAUAAUCAUGUUAGUAGCAGCCUUAAUGGCCUAGCAGUGUUAAACAGUGUGUCAGUUCCUAGAUGUUGUGCAGGGGUGGUUGUUACCAAGUGGUGGGGAAAGCUUUAUGGUUAAUGUUACCAGCCAGUAGUAUAACUUUGCCAUCUAGUAGGUUUUCGUAUUUUACUCUUUGCACAUUUUCACAGAUAGUUUAGUAACAGUAUUACAGACAAGAAUAAACAUUUUUGCAAAGAGUAAAUGCCUUGUUUUACAUUAAUGUCAGUAAUUUACAGAAAUACAAAUUAAGUAAUUUGCCAUAGGUACAGAGCAGCAAGUUUGAUGUUUAUAAAUGUGAAAUUAAUUGGACCACAUACUUAAUUUUUCACAGUGUUUAAUGGUAUUUGUUUAAACUGUGAGAAUUAUGUGUUAAUCAGGAAAGGCAUAUGCACAUUUACAUGGUUCAUAUAUAAAAAAUAUAUCUCAUAGUUGAAACUCAUGAUAGGCAGAUUUCAUUAUAGCAAAGUGAAAUUCUUAUAUGUAAAUACUGAUACAGUAAGUAAUCUUUUUCUGUUUUGUGCAUAUAUGACUUGAUUUUUAAAAUAAACCAUAAAUUAAUUUAAAAA